UGGGGAAUUUUGGACAAUGGGGGAAACCCUGAUCCAGCCAUCCCGCGUGUGCGAUGAAGGCCUUCGGGUUGUAAAGCACUUUUGGCAGGAAAGAAACGUCAUGGGCUAAUACCCCGUGAAACUGACGGUACCUGCAGAAUAAGCACCGGCUAACUACGUGCCAGCAGCCGCGGUAAUACGUAGGGUGCAAGCGUUAAUCGGAAUUACUGGGCGUAAAGCGUGCGCAGGCGGUUCGGAAAGAAAGAUGUGAAAUCCCAGAGCUUAACUUUGGAACUGCAUUUUUAACUACCGAGCUAGAGUGUGUCAGAGGGAGGUGGAAUUCCGCGUGUAGCAGUGAAAUGCGUAGAUAUGCGGAGGAACACCGAUGGCGAAGGCAGCCUCCUGGGAUAACACUGACGCUCAUGCACGAAAGCGUGGGGAGCAAACAGGAUUAGAUACCCUGGUAGUCCACGCCCUAAACGAUGUCAACUAGCUGUUGGGGCCUUCGGGCCUUGGUAGCGCAGCUAACGCGUGAAGUUGACCGCCUGGGGAGUACGGUCGCAAGAUUAAAACU
rnacentral:rRNA from 2 species